UUAGGUGACAUGAAUGCCCACAUACAGGAUUUAGACGGCUAUACCGACAAUAACGGGAAGUCAAUGCUAGACCUUUGCGAGCAACAUAAUCUCGUGAUCGUGAAUACAGGGCCUAAGUGUGAAGGACAGAUCACGUGGGAAGUGGGAAACCGGCAAUCGACCAUUGAUUACUGUCUGAUGACAGAAGGAAUUCAUGAUAAGUUGAGAGAAAUGGUCAUCGAUGAGGAAGGGUUUAGCAGCAUAGGGAGUGACCAUAAACGCAUCAUUUUGAAAAUGGGAUAUGUAGUUGGGAAAGAGAGCAACGAAAGCAAAAUGGCCAGUCCAAAUUUGAACGCUGAACAAAUAGCAAAUAUAGUCACUAGAGUGGAGGAAGAAAUUGGCAAGUUGCCAAGUAAGGGGUGGGAAUAUGGUGAGCUUCUAAGUGUAGUAACGACAGAAAUACGGAAAGAGAAACAACAUGUUCAUUGGAAAGGAAAAAAGAAACCGAAAAGCUGGUGGAACAAGGAGAUACGAGAAGCCAUCGCCGAACGACAGAAAGCAUCUCGAGAGCACAGGCAGGCAAAGAAGGCGCAGUUGCCACAGGAUGAAGUAACCAGUAAAUGGGAAAUAUACCGGGAGAAAAAGUUCAUGGUUCAAAUACUGGUGCAAGCAAAAUUAAAAGGUGAAAGUGAACGUUGGUUGUCAGAAAUACGUGAGAAAAAGAAGGCUGCACCUAGAAUAUUUUGGAAUCACAUAAAAUUAUUAGGCAGGAAGGCAACAACAAUACAACAACAUAUCCUAGACGAAGAUGAAAACAGACUGGAAGGAGAAGCAGCAAUAAAUUACAUCCAAAAAGUAACAGCCGAAUCUUUCCAAGGCAAGGACAAGGUUGUAUUUGAAGAAAAAAAGAGCAUGAAAGAGACCCAAGGGGGAAAGGAGCUAGUGCUUACAAAUUUAAACUGGAAGAAAGCGGAAGAGAAAAUUCCUAAGCGCACAGCCACAGGGCUAGACGAGGUUCCCGUUAGGCUGAUAAAUGAACUGGGACCAAAAAGUAAGGAAGCUCUCGUGAAAGCAGUUGAAAAAACUUUAAAAGAUAGACGAAUACCAGACAGUUGGCGACAAAGUAGAAUGAAUUUAAUUUAUAAAGGUAAGGGGGAGAAAGACAGAAUUCACUCGUAUAGACCGUUGACCAUUACAUCGGUAAUAUACAGGCUAGCAAUGCAGGCAGUGAAAUUAAAGCUUCAAGCAUGGGCAGAAAAUAAUGGCAUUUUGGGAGAGCUUCAGAAUGGCUUUAGAAUAGGUAGGCGUUUGGAUGAUAACUUGUUUGUUCUUACUCAGUGUAUUGAAAUAUCAAAAGCAGAAAGCAGACCGUUGUAUGUAGCCUUUUUGGACAUUACAGGAGCAUACGACAACGUAGACCGCAGCAUUUUGUGGGAUAUUCUGGAAGGGGAAGGCUUAGGUAACGAUUGUAUACAGCUCUUGAGAGAGAUUUACCUAGAAAAUACUGUUUGCGUUGAAUGGGAAGGGAUGAGGAGCGCGGAGAAAGUUCAUAUCAACAAGGGACUGAGGCAGGGGUGCCCUUUAUCCCCGCUGCUGUUUAUGAUGUACAUGGUGAGGAUGGAGAGGGCGCUAGAAGGAAGUAAUAUCGGGUUUAAUCUCUCAUACAAACAGGCAGGUACAGUAAUAGAGCAGCAACUCCCAGGUUUAUUUUAUGCGGACGACAUUGUGUUGCUCGCAAACAAGCAAAGUGAUUUGCAACGUCUGGCUAAUAUCUGUGGACAGGAAGGCAACAAGUUAGGUUUGAAAUUUAGUGUUAGAAAAUCAGGUGUUAUUGUAUUCAAUGAAAACAGUGAACAGACAGUGGAGAUACAGGGCCAAGAAAUACCUCGGGUAACAGAAUAUAAAUACCUUGGUAUAUGGAUAAACGAAGGCAACGGAUAUAUGGAAACACAGGAAAAAACCAUAACAGUCAAGGGGAAGAGAAAUGCAGCCAUAAUGAAGCACAGAGCGCUGUGGGGAUACAAUAGGUACGAGGUCCUCCGAGGUAUGUGGAAAGGGGUAAUGGUUCCAGGACUUACUUUUGGAAAUGCGGUUGUUUGCUUUAAAUCAGGGGUACAAUCAGGACUCGACGGGAACCAAAGGUCAGUGGGUCGCCUCGCAUUGGGCGCUCACGGGAAGACUACAAAUGAAGCUGUGCAAGGGGAUAUGGGCUGGACUAGUUUUGAAGUGAGGGAAGCCCGCAGUAAAAUUGAGUACGAAGAACGGCUGAGGAAUAUGGAGGAAAGUAAAUGGGCUGGGAGAGUGUUCAGGUAUCUGUACAGGCAAAACAUUGAUUCACAGUGGAGGAAAAGAACUAGGAAGCUUACCAGCAAGUAUGCGGCCUGUGGGGUGGGCAACACAGCAACAAAGAAGGUCAAGCGGAAAGUCAGAGAGGCUGAAUUAAUCUCAUGGGUGGCGGCAAUGGAAAAGAAACCUGCCAUGAGUAACUACUUAAGGGGAAAAAACGAAAUUAGGAAAGAAACCAUUUAUGAUAACUCAAAGGGAAGCUCAUUACUUUUCGAAGCGAGAUCGGGAUGCCUUAGAACACGCACCUAUAAAGCGAGAUAUAAGAAUGAAGAAGAAACAUGUGCUUGCUGCGGUAAAGCUAGGGAAACGACGGAACAUAUUUUAUUAGAAUGUGAGGACGUCUACCCAGCGGUCGAUUUAGGCACCACUGGCCUCCUUGAAGCCCUUGGGUUCAGCGGGAGCAGUGGUAAAGCAAACAGGUCCGCAAUAGACAUCAGUAAGAGGCGAUUGGAGGAUUGGUGGAAGAAAAGUAGGGAAACGACAAAAGACGGAGACGUACAAAAGCACAGUUCGCAAUAGGGUAUCAGAAAAUUUGGACGUGGUAGUUCAUAGUGGUUUUUUUUUUUUUUUUUUUUUUUUUCCCAUUGGUGAACAUAGGUAGGAUAUUAGGCAGCAUAGUAGUAAGAGCUUGGUGGCGCAAGCCACCGCCCCGUUCCAAAGGGGACGCUCAUAACAUCCAUCCAUCCAUCCAUCCGGUGGGGAAGAGUAAAGAGGAGAGGGGCAGGAACCAGCUUCUCGGCUCACGCGGCAGGCAUCUAGUAAAGGAGGCAUUGCCCAUGCAUAGAGUUAGUUAGCGCAGCAGCGCCAGAUUCCCUCUAGGUAAUGUAGUGAGAAACUCUGAUCUGCACUACAUAAUUUCGCGGACAAAUGAAUUAGCCAACCUCCUGAAUCAAAAAGCAUGGAGCUCUUAAGUACCGCUAGGUAGCGCGCCAUGGUACCGCCGUUGAUACUGUUCGCGGACACGUAGCGGGAUUACUUAGCUGCAGUAAAUACAACACUGUGGCAUCCAAACGUCAAUAGCUUUCUUCAAAAAUUGACGCUUUAGAGCUUAAAACAUUUAUGCAACCGCUCGCUUGCUUCUAGAUCGAUGUACAGAGAUGCAACCUUGAAGCCACCAAUUCACACUACGUCAUCUCACAUUGUCCGAUUUGUUCAAACAACGUAAAAAUGUGCACGAAAAAAAAAAAAAGAAAAAUAACUUUAAAAUGAAACCGAUCGUGAUUUUUAGGAACAAAAUAAUUAUAUUCGCAAUCGCCACAAAGGGAUUACAUGGGAUAAGGGAGAAAUGUGAAUCCGAACAGUGUCCAGUCAUACGUGUUCUGUGGUCCAGUGUCCGGAAACAGCUGGUGCGAGUUGAAUGUGAGGAGAUUGUGUGAACAGUGUACGGGUGGUGUGCAGAACGUGCAGAAGAACUAAAGCAAAUCGCCGCGCCGCCCACGAUGAAUUUCAUCAACCCUGUUCAAGCGCGACGACGUACCAGAAGAGCUGAAGGAGGCAUACGACCGUGCCAACCACUACCACUUCCUGCACACGCUGGCACUG